UACGUAGGGUGCAAGCAUUAAUCGGAUUUAUUGGGCGUAAAGGGCGCGUAGGCGGGUCUGCAAGUCAGAUGUGAAAGUCCAGGGCUCAACCCUGGGAUGCCGGUGGAUACUGUCGGACUAGAGUACGGAAGAGGCGAGUGGAAUUCCCGGUGUAGCGGUGAAAUGCGCAGAUAUCGGGAGGAACACCAAUUGCGAAGGCAGCUCGCUGGGACGUUACUGACGCUGAGACGCGAAAGCGUGGGGAGCAAACAGG
rnacentral:rRNA from 1 species